GGGUUAAGUCCCGCAACGAGCGUAACCCUUGUUUUUAGUUGCCUUUCGAGGAUAUUUAGAAAGACUGCCGAUUAUAAAUCGGAGGAAGGUAAGGACGACGUCAAGUCAUCAUGCCCCUUACACUCUGGGCUACACACGUGCUACAUUGGGUAGAACAAUAAGUUGCUAAGUUGCGAAACCAAGCGAAUCUUCAAAUCUACUCUAAGUUCGGAUUGUAGGCUGCAACUCGCCUACAUAAAGAUGGAAUCGCUAGUAAUCGCUGGUCAGCUACACAGCGGUGAAUCCGUUCCCGGGCCUUGUACACACCGCCCGUCACACCAUGGAAGCUGGUCACACCCAAAGUCGUUAUUCUAACCGUUUGGAGGAAGGCGCCUAAGGUAGGAUUGGUGACUGGGGUGAAGUCGUAACAAGGUAGCCGUAGGGGAACCUGCGGCUGGAUCACCUCCUU
rnacentral:rRNA from 13 species